GAUGAACGCUGGCGGCGUGCCUAAUACAUGCAAGUCGAGCGAACGGACGAGAAGCUUGCUUCUCUGAUGUUAGCGGCGGACGGGUGAGUAACACGUGGAUAACCUACCUAUAAGACUGGGAUAACUUCGGGAAACCGGAGCUAAUACCGGAUAAUAUUUUGAACCGCAUGGUUCAAAAGUGAAAGACGGUCUUACUGUCACUUAUAGAUGGAUCCGCGCUGCAUUAGCUAGUUGGUAAGGUAACGGCUUACCAAGGCAACGAUGCAUAGCCGACCUGAGAGGGUGAUCGGCCACACUGGAACUGAGACACGGUCCAGACUCCUACGGGAGGCAGCAGUAGGGAAUCUUCCGCAAUGGGCGAAAGCCUGACGGAGCAACGCCGCGUGAGUGACGAAGGUCUUCGGAUCGUAAAACUCUGUUAUUAGGGAAGAACAUAUGUGUAAGUAACUGUGCACAUCUUGACGGUACCUAAUCAGAAAGCCACGGCUAACUACGUG
rnacentral:rRNA from 1 species